rnacentral:siRNA from 1 species
GACCAUAGGCCGAGUGGUAUGGG